rnacentral:lncRNA from 1 species
GCCACGGCCCCAUCUGACGAGCGGCCAUUCAUCAGGCCCGCUGGCCUAUCAAUGACAUUGCUCUCCUCGGGGCUCCUAUAAAAUGAUGUUUUUUCCCAUGAAACAUCCGCAAACAUUUUGACGGGUUUGGCUUUGCCCGACUGGAUUACUGAGUGUCCCCUCGCUUGCUCUCUCUCUCCCUCUGCUCUAGCUUCCUUCCUUCCCCCGCUUCUUCACCUCUUUUCUUUCCUCCGGUUCUUUCUUUUCCCCUUUUAUCCUUUUGCCCUCUCACCCACCGUCUCCCCCUCUCUCUCGCUAUCCCUUCCUUCCUUGCUCCUUCCCUCCCUUCCUCCCUGGGCAUCUCUAGCACAGGGGAUCCCCAAAUAUCAGGACUUUUGGGGGGCGUCUGUGCUGUCCAUGGGAAGAGCAUGCAUUGUGGGUUACUGGAGGAACCCGACAUGGAUUCCACAGAGAGCUGGAUUGAAAGAUGCCUCAAUGAAAGCGAGAAUAAACGCUAUUCCAGCCACACAUCUCUGGGGAAUGUGUCUAAUGAUGAAA